CAGCAAAAACUUUGUGAGUUUCAAAGGAAAAAUCAUAGUUGGAAGAAUCAUAGAAUGGUCUGGAUUGAAAAGGACCACAAUGAUCUUAACUUGAAGGAUCUAGAUGGCAUAAUUACAGAAGAGUAACAGGAUGAGUCCCAGACCUGAACAACUGGUAAAUAUUUCAGAUACCAAUAUCAACUUCUUAGCCAGGCAACAGGAAAAGGAGCAAAAUAGGAUUUCUCAAGCAACCAGAUGUUCCACAAAGCACUGAGAGGAGAAUCUCAAGAGAUACUCUCAAAUAUCUCUGCAGAAAUCACAGAGACUUUUGUCAUGCUAUUGCACAGGGACAAGCUAUCAGAGCAGAUGUCCCACCAGAAGGCUUCAAGCUGCACCAGGUAAGGUUCAGGCUGGACGUUAGGAAAUAUUACUUCUCUGAAAGGGUGGUCAGGCACUGGAAUGGGCUGCCCAGAGGUGGUGGAGUCACUGAGCCUGGAGGUGUUCAAGGAACGUUUGGAUGUUGUGUUGAGGGACAUGGUUUAGUGAGAACUGUUGGUGAUGGGUGAAUGGUUGGACUGGAUGAUCCUGUGGGUCUUUUCCAACCUUAGCAAUUCUAUGAUUCUAAGAGGAAAAGACGGCAAUGAUUCCAGAUGAACUGCUGUACUUCUGUCUUUUCAAAUCCCAGUCAUCCAGCAGGAAGACCCACUCUGCUGUUAGAAAAAAAUGCCAGUUGAUGAUGCUACCUACUUCUGUCCAGCUUCAAGUACGUACCACAGUAGAAAAUCCAAAACAGACACAGAGGGGUAGACCGUACUCUGUUUGGAGUAGGGGGGAAGGAAGAAAUUUGAAAUACUGCAGUUUCUAUGCAAUGUUAUUUUCUCCUCACUUUGGGCAACACUUCAUCCAGAGAAAUCUGAUCUCAUACUGUCUUAAACAAAGAUUUACUGGCUGAUAGCAGAAUCUGUGGGUGUGUGAAAAGCCUGACAGAAACCUCAAGAAUUUAUUUAUGGCUGCAAAUAUUACAUCCAUAUGGGAGCCUUGAACUUUUUGCAGACAACAUAGAGACUGUUAUUGAUUUAAAAGUCUACUGGAAUAUAGAAAAAAAAGAAAAGAAAAGGAAAAAAAAAACAGGAGAAAAGCUAAUUAUGAUAAUAGGAACAAGACAUGUAUAAUUCCAUUUUAAAAAUUAGUUACUUCUCUUCCUCUAUCUUGAUUUUUCCCUAACUACAGUUCUCUGUUCAUUAGGAGAUAAUUACCUUCGCUGUGAUACAGACUGUAAAUGUGCUGUUUA
ensembl:lncRNA